AACAUAGUUACACUGACCUGGUGGACAUAGCUACCACCUUUGGGAGAGGUGGAGUACCUACAUGGACUGGAGAAGCCCUCUCUUUAAAGUUUGGAAAUCUUACAAGAAAUCAGAUAGAGUAAACCUACUAGCCGAAGAUUGAUAUGAAAGAUGAGUUUCAGUCUGCAGAGACAAUGCCCAAGUGAGAAGCAGACUUUCCCUUGCUGCAGCUGCUGGGGAAGGGGAAGGUGCUUGGAUUCCUACUGGAUGCUAUCCCUGGAUUCUGCUUUGGAGUUAUCCUCAAGCUAGUAACUGCCUGAUAAAUUUGUCUUCAUUUCUGAAGAGCCUCCUGACUGCUUCAAGGAUAGAUUGAGGGAGGUGUCUACCAGUUUCCUGUGUAAUGCAAUGGGAGUGCGUGGGGCAUCUGCUCGCUCUCUCCUUUGCUUUUGUGUCAUUUUUUUGUUUCCAGUACUCUAUGCUCCCCUGCCUCAUUUUUUGAGUAUUCCAAAUUAAUAACUCCAGUUCUUGUUGUUUAUUGAUUUCCAAAGUAGUAGCCAAGUAACACUGAGUAGUCUUCUGGGAAUCAGUGAAGACUGACAAGGCUAAAUCCAGGUCUGUACUACAAACUUCCACCAGUAUACUAAUGUUUGGUGUGGAGAAGAUGACUUUUAUUCCUCCCAAUACUUCUUUUCUGACAAACCAUCCUGAUGUAGAUGCAGUUAUAUACUGGCUUAAGUGUUUUUGCCAUUACAACUUAUUUUACGUGGGGAAUCUGUGUACUAUACUGGCAAAAACAUUCUUUUCCUGAUACAAGCUGCAUCUACUCUAGGAGAGUUUGCUGGUACAGCUUUACUGGCAAACCUUUUCUAGUAUAGACCUACGUUUCCAUUUUGCUGCAGUUUGGAGAAACCCUGCUAAAGCAUUGGAGUGAUUUCUAAAGUGUACUAACUGGUUUGGGUAGACCUUACCACACAGCAUCAGGUUUCCUAGUGUGCUUUAACUUAGUGCUCAAACACCACUAUGUUAAAGCACAUUAGGGAACUUUUAGCUUGCACCAGCAGGGUCUGCCUAGACCAGUUAAUGUGUUUUUAGAAAUCAGACCCCUUGCUGCUCUGUGUAAGACAAGCCCAUAUGCUCCUUUUAUGAGAUGGCUGAAGUAGACCCCGUCCCCCCACUCCAGCCGCCAGCUGGCUUCUGCGGCCGGAUCCGUGUGGGUCUCCUGCAGGUGUUGUAGGUUAUCUUUGCAGCUUUAAGGGCUAGAAACCCUUCCCUGCCACCUCACCUCCCUUUUUUUAAAGUGUUUAAAUAUCGUGGAAUUUGAUAGUUUUUGUUUGAAGAGGAACAGGUCUGAGACUGUUAAAGUUGCCCUAUGAGUGAAUCCUCAGUAGUGACAAUGGGAUCUCUUGUGAAUCUUCUGAAUAGAUCAUUGUAUUACAAUGAGCACAAAGUCAUAAAUGACGCUGGUACCAAACCUUUACGUUGCAAUACUUGCCAACAAUCCCAGUUAUGCAUGCCUUGAUUUCCACUGAAGGUGCUUUUUAUAGAAGGGAGAACCACUUCUCUGUUCUUCCCCUGUAGUUUUGUGUUAAAACUCUGACUUUUUCAUUUUCUUACUUUAUUCUGUCCUCUGUUUUAUUUAAAAUGAGUCUAAAACGUAGCUGCCUUUUGUUUUCUGUUUUGUUUUUGGUAGAAGACAUUUAAAUGCGAAAGAGGCAGCUGACUAGACUAAUAGACCAGAAAUAAGUGUUUCCUUCAGGCUUUUUGGUAAACAUUCAUUAAGGAAGGCAUGCUAGAACUCAAACUGCCUUGUAAGUGUGACUACUUGCUGUUUGUAAGUUACAGCUGAACACAACUUUGUGCUUAAUCACAGAAUCACUUCCUUCUUUCAAUAGUCAGAACCUAGACUGUCACAAUAUUAACGUAAACUGAAACCUUAAAUAUCAAACCUAAUGCCCAUAUGUGGGAGAAAUUUGAUGUGAUCAUUGUUAGUCUUGAAACCAAAGUCCCAAUCUCUGCCAAGUACUGUCAAAUCUAUUUGAUAUAGUGCUAAUUUUUUUUCUUGGAAAUAAGUUUUCACCAUCUUUCUUGUUCUAUCUUUCUUUUCAUUUUUCCCCCAGCAUGCGGUGUGGGCCUCCUGUAAGACAGCCAUAGUAAUUGAGGGGUUUGUUAGGGCUGAUGAUCAGUGAGGCAGGGAAAACUGCAUGUCCCCAGAUCCAUCUGCCUCCACCUUAAAUGUGUGUGUCUGAUGCUAUGGCCAAAGUUUCUUGAAAGCUACCUACCUUCUCUUAGACCUUGUCUACUUAACAGGCACUGUACUGCUAUAUAGUUACAUCUGUAUAAUCUUGUAGUGUAGAUGCAGCAUACAGUGACAGAAGGAGUGUUUCCACUGCUGUAGGAACACCACCUCCCCAACCAAUGGUAGUUAGGUCAAUGGAAACACUCUUAUGUUGACCUAGUUGCAUCUGCACUGCGAGUUGAGUUGGCAUAACUGCAGUGCUUGGUGUGGAUUUUUCCUACCCCUUGGUGACACAGUUAUGUCUAUUUUAAAUUUAAGUGUAGACUGAGCCUUAAUGUACAUAAAUCUGGCAGUAGCUCUUGUGGUACAUAAUUAUAGUCUGAGUCCUGAUGUAUGCUUUACAUUUAGGUUGACAUAGUGAACCUGAAGCUGAAGAAUCUGCACCAUGAGACUAUAGUUUUCUGACCCUCAAGUUGUAGCUAGGUUGAUAGAAGAAUGUUUCUGUCAACUUAGCUACCGUCGCUUUGGGAAAUGGUGUUCCUACAGCAAUAGAAAACCCCCUUCCGUUAGCAUAGGCUGUGUCUAUGCUGUUAGGUUAUGGCGGCAUAGCUAUGGCACUGUAGGUAUGCUGGUAGAAUUCCCAUACUGUAGAUGUGGCCUGAGACAGCAGCCUACUAGCCCAAGUGUGUCUCUUGUCUCAUUGUUCAGAUCAUUUUUGAGCAAUGCUAGUGGAACCCCCUGCUCUAGCUGCAUGAAGCCUCCCAGUGAGUAUGGAAAACUGAAGGGGAAUGAAAACAAAUAAUGCUUCUGCUUCCCCCCCUUUUCUCAGUCUCCCCCCCCCUCCAAAAAAAAAGUCAAAGAAUGAACUGUAAAAGGGCAAGAGAAGGAAACAGAUGGAGAUCAGACAGCAGUAACUGUACCAGGGCUCCUGCAAGAAGGUUGGGAACCAUUGUUUUUGUGAUGGCUUUUCUAGGGUAUAAAAGUUUUAAAAAGUUUUACAGUUAUGUAAUAUAUAUGCAAGAACAUGUAUUUGUUAUGCACAUAGCUAUUAUUCCUUUCCCAAGAACAUUUUUACUAUCUCACUUUAUAGUCACCUGACAGUUGUUGGUAAGAUACUUGAUUACCAUUUUAUUCUCAAGUUUACAGCUUAAGAACUGUGAACUGUUUUUUGUCCUGCAUCUUUUCAUUUUCCCCCCUCAAUGUUUACAUUGUUGCUAUUUUGAAUAGCAUGUUUAAUGUUAAUUUUGCAGAAAUAAAAUCUAAUGGAACAUG